CGGGUUCGGGGCCGGCGGCUUCUACGGCGAAGCCGAAGGGCUCGAACCCGUUCGGAGAGGCGAGGCCGAGAGAGGAGGUUCUGGCUGAGAAGGGACAGGACUGGAAAAAGAUCGAUGAGCAGCUCGAUUCGAUGAAGAUUAAGGAGGUGGGCGAGAAAGCAGAGGGUGGAUCUUCGUUUGGGAACAGGAGUUUUGGGAUUGGGAAUGGGCGUUCUAGUGACCACACUGAGAUGAGUUGGAGGAAGCCUGACACCACGGAAGAUGAUGCUUCUUCCCACAGUGCUGAGCCUGAGAAAGAUGAGGGCGGACCUGCUGAGGAGAACUGAAGACUAUAGUUGACUAAAAAUCACGAAAAGAAAGGGGAACGAUUCAAGUUAUUGGAGCUGUUGAAUCCUGAGCUGAGACUCUAUUUGUUUGUUAUCUUAAUAUUUUGGCCGUGACUGAUUAUACAAUUGAACUUUUAUUUAACAAUUUUGGUAGGUUGUUUAAUGAGUUAUAGGAGUUUUGCCCGUGAUUGCUUUGCUUUAGAGUUUGUGGAAUUGAAAUAUUUAUUCCUUGAAUAAUUAUUUUUUUUUCAUUAUUAAAUUUCUGGUUUACAAAGUUGAGCACAUGAGCGCAUGUUUUGGUGUCUGUAUAUAUGCAACGGAAUAAUUUGGA